rnacentral:rRNA from 1 species
GAUGAACGCUGGCGGCGUGCCUAAUACAUGCAAGUCGAGCGAACGGACGAGAAGCUUGCUUUUCUGAUGUUAGCGGCGGACGGGUGAGUAACACGUGGAUAACCUACCUAUAAGACUGGGAUAACUUCGGGAAACCGGAGCUAAUACCGGAUAAUAUUUUGAACCGCAUGGUUCAUAAGUGAAAGACGGUCUUGCUGUCACUUAUAGAUGGAUCCGCGCUGCAUUAGCUAGUUGGUAAGGUAACGGCUUACCAAGGCAACGAUGCAUAGCCGACCUGAGAGGGUGAUCGGCCACACUGGGACUGGGACACGGGCCAGACUCCUACGGGGGGCAGCAGUAGGGAAUCUUCCGCAAUGGGCGAAAGGCUGACGGAGCAACGCCGCGUGGGUGAUGAAGGUCUUGGGAUCGUAAAACUCUGUUAUUAGGGAAGAAAAUAUGUGUUAGUAACUGUGCACAUCUUGACGGUACCUAAUCAGAAAGCCGCGGCUAACUACG